AGAGAGAGAGAGAGAGAAGUUUACAAGGGGAACUUUUUUGUUUUGUUUUGUCGAAGGCGUUAGAAUUUAAAAAAAACGCAGGACUCCCGCGCCAUUGCUGAUCAAACACUGCGGGGUGGGUGGGUGAGAGUCUGAGAAGACCCCCCCCCCCGCCCCACCACCAAAAAAAAAACCCUCGGCACAAACCCCUUCAACAAGUCAAGGAAGAAAAAACAAGCGCUGGAACUUUUCAGAAGAUUCCACCUCUUCUGCAUAUGGAGAGAAAAUGCACAAGUGCCACCUGAUGGGAUAGAACUAAGAUGGUGACAGGCGUCUUCCCUUUGAGGAAAGCCGGGACUGAAGAGAGAGGCGCCUCCUGCGUUGAGGGCCUUCGGUUGAAGGGCACAGGCGGUGCCAGCCAAGAGAAACAAAAGGAAUAGUCUCAACCCGAAAUACAGCGGUCAGUAGACAGAGAGAAAAAACCCCCCAGUACUGAAAGAUACAGGCUAAAGGGAAAAAUGCUGAAUGCAGGGGUGAGGGGCCCGAUACCCCGAGAUCCAGGAAUUCUUGAAUGAGGGAUUUGGCAAAAUCACGACUGAAAUCCAAGAGUGGGAAGAAUUCUUCCAUGAGGAAGGCUACCAGCACCUGCAGUGAAGCUCCAGCAGAUACAGCAGCAAAGGGAAUGUAAGAUGGCUGCUCCAUGGUGCUGCACACGAAGGAUGAGGAGUAACUUCCCCUCAGCAAACUCAUCGGGGUAAACGCGCAGGAAACACAACCUGGCUACCUUUUUUUAAAUUUGCUGUCUAUAUAUUUUUAUUCCACUGCGUCUUAGGAUGUGAGUGAUGUUAACAAAGCCAAUUUUUAUUGCCCAUUCCUAGUGUCCCUGUUAGCAUUGUGAUUCAGCCGUGUAGCAUGUAACUGGUCAACAUGCAGAUCAGAUUGAAUAGGGGCGAUGGGUUCCUCUCCCUCAAGGGCAUGAGGUGAAUUAGCUGGGAUCUUAGAACAAUCCAGCAGAUUUCAUUGGUCAGCGUCCAGUUCCAAUUCAAUGAUUGAUUGAAUUCCAUUUCACAAUGCACCCUGGUGGGAUUCGACCCCUUGACUUUUCUAGCGCAGCUCUAUAAAUGAUCGGUCACCAUAUCAACUCAAUACACAUACAUGACCCAAAUUUCAAAAUCCAGUUAAAUUUACCAUAAAAUUCCAAACGUUAAAGCAUAUUGAACAAAAUUGUAAACAACAUAAAAAAUCCAGAAUAUACUACAAAUGUUAAAAAAUGAGCCUAAGGUCAUGAAGUUCUUUAAAGAGUAGUCAAUGCAUGGAAUGGAACUCUGAGGAGAGGAAUGGAGGCAAAAUCCAUGGGUCAUUGGAGAGACAGUUGCCGGGUGCAGCAGGAAGAUUGUGGGAUCAUUGAGUGAUGAUGAGCUUCUGUUGUCAAAUAUCUCCUAGCCUACAAAUUGCUCUUGGUUGGAUUAAUAGACAAAUGGAUGAGUUCUUACAACAUUCCCUUAUCCAUUCUUUCAAUGGAGACAUUUAAGCUGGGCACUCUAAAGGGGUCAGUGGUUCCUCGAGGAAUAUUAAACACAGCUGUGCACCCCCACAAGGCUCACCAAGAAAAAUGUUGUUGUCAACUGCAGUUUCUCAAACUCUCAGGGAGAUAUCUGUACACUGGCUGGUGUCUCUCAGUCCCCUCUCUCUCAGGGAGAUAUCUGUACAAGGACUGGUGCUCAAACCCUCACUC